rnacentral:rRNA from 1 species
CGUAGGGACCAAGCGUUGUUCGGAUUUACUGGGCGUAAAGGGCGCGUAGGCGGCGUGUUAAGUCAGCUGUGAAAUCUCCAAGCUUAACUUGGAACGGUCAGCUGAUACUGAUGUGCUAGAGUGCAGAAGGGGCAACCGGAAUUCUUGGUGUAGCGGUGAAAUGCGUAGAUAUCAAGAGGAACACCUGAGGUGAAGACGGGUUGCUGGGCUGACACUGACGCUGAGGCGCGAAAGCUAGGGGAGCAAACGGGAUUAGAUACCCCGGUAGUCCUAGCCCUAAACGAUGAAUACUUGGUGUCUGGAGUUUUUAUUCUCCGGGUGCCGUCGCUAACGUUUUAAGUAUUCCGCCUGGGGAGUACGCACGCAAGUGUG